CCUACGGGAGGCAGCAGUGGGGAAUAUUGGACAAUGGGCGAAAGCCUGAUCCAGCAAUGCCGCGUGAGUGAAGAAGGCCUUCGGGUUGUAAAGCUCUUUUACCCGGGAAGAUAAUGACCGUACCGGGAGAAUAAGCCCCGGCUAACUCCGUGCCAGCAGCCGCGGUAAUACGGAGGGGGCUAGCGUUGUUCGGAAUCACUGGGCGUAAAGCGUGCGUAGGCGGCCAUUCAAGUCAGAGGUGAAAGCCCAGGGCUCAACCCUGGAACUGCCUUUGAAACUAGGUGGCUGGAACACGGGAGAGGUGAGUGGAAUUCCGAGUGUAGAGGUGAAAUUCGUAGAUAUUCGGAAGAACACCAGUGGCGAAGGCGGCUCACUGGACCGUUGUUGACGCUGAGGCACGAAAGCGUGGGGAGCAAACAGGAUUAGAUACCCUGGUAGUCCACGCCGUAAACGAUGAUAACUAGCUGUUGGGGCUCUUUGAGCUCCACGUGGCGCAGCUACGACAUUAAGUUAUCCGUCCGUCGGGUAGGUACGGCCGCGAACGGUUAAACGUAACGAAAGAAGUUAGACGGCGUGAGACGUCGCCGAACGGACGACGACGAGGGAGGUAGG
rnacentral:rRNA from 1 species